rnacentral:lncRNA from 1 species
UGAAGAUGACAUUACCAAAACAAAUUUACAAUGAUAUGGUAACAAUCACCAAAGUUAUUUAAAAUGCACGAAUAAAUAGUCAAGAAUAAAAGGGUACAAAAAAAAUAAGGAAAACUUAACUGGAAUUAAACUAAAACAGCAGGGACAAUUCGAAAAUAAAACAAUAACAAUAAGAGGACCAAUAAUCAAUGCACGAAAACAGCUAAGGACUAAAACUGGCAAUAUACCAGAUCCCAAAUGCUACGUUUAAGCGCCGAUCCAUUUGCAAACGAGUGUAAAUCACAAAGCUAAAUUAAUAAAAAAAAACGAAACAAGAAUACGGGCUGAUUUGAAUACUGCGCAAAAGGGAAGGACUGAUAUAGAAAAUAACCCUUCACUGCAAAGGCGCGCGCUGGCCUAGACGGUGUCGUUUAAGACCGUUAUCAUUGGUCUAAACGGUGUCGUUUCUUACUCCCUUAAAAUCCCCAACAAAACACCCCGUUCAGCUGAACCCCCAUCCAUUUUCUUCUUUUCCAAACCCUAAAUCCCCUUUGAAAAUGCCGAUUCUCCUUCCCCUAGCAGCAGCCAACAGAUUUAGACUGGAGAGAACACCUUUCAGCCUUUCAAUCUCCUCUUAACUUCGAUUUUAACUAAGCAAGAGGAGAUCCACGGCGUGCUUUCAAGGUAAACUCCCACUUUUCCCUUUUUUAUCCAUGCCUUCGAGUAAAAACAACAAAUAAACAAAAGAUCAAGCCGAAAAAAAAAGAACGCCCCGAGAUUUCAGUCGGAAAAUCACCUUUAAGAAUCGGUUGUUUUUUAUUGCUUCUGUUUUUGUAUGCGUAUUUCUAUGUUUAUGUGGCGUUCGAGUGUGUAAUAUGCGUGUGUAUAUUGCAUUCGUAAAGAAGAAGAAUUUACAAUCGAAAAUAAAAGGCUUUAUAGCCGAAUAACACCAAAAAAAACAACAAUUUUUGUUCUCCUAUUGGCUGCUAUUCUGCUAUUCUUUUCUUGUUCUCUUUCGCAGGUACAGGUGCGUUGGCGCUCGGGUACGGGUCUGGGCUGGCGUACGGAGGCGCGUGUGCGUGGCUGCUGGAGGGUACGGAGGCCAGGGCCGAGGCUUGGCUGCGGCGCGAGAGAGAGAGAGAGAACCCUAAGGUUCCAUUUGUUCUAAAUUUUUUUGGGCCAUCGGGCCUGUAUUUGGGUCUUGGUUUUAAAUUUGGGUCUAGGUUUAGUUAUUGGGCUUGGGUUAUGUAGCUGGGUUUGGGUCUGUUAUAAAACUGGACUGUUGUAUUGGUUUGGUUUAAUUUAAUUUAUUUAUAUUUUGUAUUUUAUCUUGGGUUACUAAUGGGCCGAGCAAAAUGGGCCUCUUACAGCUAUUAUGGCUACUUCUUUGUUGUUACCUAAGAUUCAGUGAUUUCAUGACACUGUAAAAUUAACGGUAAAUUAUUCAAAUUGUCACUCUAAAAUUAUUUUAUUCCUAUUUUGAUCACUCUAUUUUUUUUUGUCAAAUAUAACGUUGUCGUUAGUAAGUGAUGAUAAAUGGGGUUUAGGGUUUAAUGAUUUUGAGAUUUAGAAUUUGAUUUCGAAGUCAGUGAUGGUAAUAGAG